UUUUGCAGCAAACAUUGAAGCGCGAAGUAACCCCAGGAAAGGCAAGAAACCAGGUUAUGGCACAGGAAAGAAACUCUACGAUUCAAGGCUAACGGAAAAUGCCAGAUACAAGAAGAGCCGAGUGGAGCAAUGCAGAUUGGUAUUGAUAACAUAAAUCAGCUACUUGAAAACUUCAUGGGAAUUAUGACAGCGAGCUGGCGACGCAAAUCUGGGAACAGGCGGACGGCAAGCAGAACAGUAUGGACUUCGCCGAAGCCAUUGACAACUCAGACCUGGAGGACUUUGGAUUCACUGAUGACUUUAUCAUUGAGCUCUGGGGUCAUCACACCGAUGCUAGAUCCGGCCGAUUGAUACAUAAAACUAGCUGAAAGAAUAUUAAUAACUGAGAGGAUAUAUAAAUAUGAUGCAAAUUAAUAUAUAUGUGUUAAGAGAAAUAUUAAAUAAAGUCUAAUUUAAUACUAA